rnacentral:rRNA from 1 species
CCUACGGGUGGCAGCAGUGGGGAAUAUUGGGCAAUGGACGCAAGUCUGACCCAGCAACGCCGCGUGAAGGAAGAAGGCUUUCGGGUUGUAAACUUCUUUUAAUGGGGAAGAGGAUAAGACGGUACCCCUUGAAUAAGCCACGGCUAACUACGUGCCAGCAGCCGCGGUAAUACGUAGGUGGCAAGCGUUGUCCGGAUUUACUGGGUGUAAAGGGCGUGCAGCCGGGCCGACAAGUCAGAUGUGAAAUCCGCGGGCUUAACCCGCGAACUGCAUAUGAGACUGUAGGUCUAGAGUGCCGGAGAGGUAAUCGGAAUUCCUUGUGUAGCGGUGAAAUGCGUAGAUAUAAGGAAGAACACCAGUGGCGAAGGCGGAUUACUGGACGGUAACUGACGGUGAGGCGCGAAAGCGUGGGGAGCAAACAGGAUUAGAUACCCGGGUAGUC